AUGAAAGACAGAUGGGAGUAAUAUUGUCAGGUUUCAGUAAUCAAAACAGUAUUAGUCAAAUACUGUAUAUUAUCAAAUAUUAUAGUGCAAAUAUUAGAAUGACAUGCAUGUUAGCAAGUGAAGUCAUACUUUACCUUUCUCUAUGCUCGCUUGAUGUUUUUCACAGCAAACCAUCCUUUGUCACACCAGGGUUAACAAACCACUUAACAGCUGUUAGUAAGCGGACAUCAGUCUAUACUACACAUCACAGGGUCAAAGCGUGAGCUACGAUAUGUUGGAGUGAUAUCAGUUCCAGGACACAGAGGGGCACAGCUCAGAAGGCCAAGGUCUGCGUCAUGCUGUUUCCCUGUGAUUCCCAGGGCCAAAGGACACAGAGGUGAUUUGCCUCCUUUGGCUGCUUGGCGUUUUCCACUCUAUGAUGUAAUGGAC